AUUGAACGCUGGCGGCAGGCUUAACACAUGCAAGUCGAGCGGGGUGAUGGUGCUUGCACUAUCACUUAGCGGCGGACGGGUGAGUAAUGCUUAGGAAUCUGCCUAUUAGUGGGGGACAACAUCUCGAAAGGGAUGCUAAUACCGCAUACGUCCUACGGGAGAAAGCAGGGGAUCACUUGUGACCUUGCGCUAACAGAUGAGCCUAAGUCGGUUUAGCUAGUUGGUGGGGUAAAGGGCUACCAAGGCGACGAUGUGUAGCGGGUCUGAGAGGAUGAUCCGCCACACUGGGACUGAGACACGGCCCAGACUGCUACGGGAGGCAGCAGUGGGGAAUAUUGGACAAUGGGGGGAACCCUGAUCCAGCCAUGCCGCGUGUGUGAAGAAGGCCUUAUGGUUGUAAAGCACUUUAAGCGAGGAGGAGGCUCUUUUGGUUAAUACCCAAGAUGAGUGGACGUUACUCGCAGAAUAAGCACCGGCUAACUCUGUGCCAGCCGCCGCCGUAA
rnacentral:rRNA from 1 species